GCCUGGGUGGCUCAGUCGGUUAAGCGUCCGACUUUGGCUCAGGUCAUGAUCUCACGGUUUGUGAGUUCGAGCCCCACUUCGGGCU
rnacentral:tRNA from 1 species